CUAGCGCUGUCGAGUGGCAAAUGACGCCGC
rnacentral:rRNA from 1 species